GGACUCUUAGCUCAGUUGGUAGAGCGCCCGGUUUACAUCCGGUAGGUCAGAGGUUCGAGUCCUCUAGGGUCCA
rnacentral:tRNA from 4 species